GAUGAAGAACGUAGUGAAAUGCGAUAAGUAAUGUGAAUUGCAGAAUUCAGUGAAUCAUCGAAUCUUUGAACGCACAUUGCGCCCGCCAGUAUUCUGGCGGGCAUGCCUGUCCGAGCGUCAUUUCAACCAUCAAGCCUCGUGCUUGUGUUGGGGACCUGCGUCCGACGCAGGCCCUGAAAACCAGUGGCGGGCUCGCUGUCCACACCGAGCGUAGUAACUAACCUCGCUAUGGAGUGGCGCGGGCGCCUGCCGUAAAACCCCCAAUUUCACAAGGUUGACCUCGGAUCAGGUAGGAAUACCCGCUGAACUUAAGCAUAUCAAUAGCGGAGGA
rnacentral:misc_RNA from 1 species